AGCAUGAUUAAUGUGAUACAUACAGAAGAGCAGCAGAGUGAGUGUGGAAUUACAGUCGGUGCCAGUUCACCUAGAGACAUUUAUCUUUUCUUUUUUUCCCUCGUGCCUGCGCUGAGCCUCAGGAUCAGAAUGGAAAAGAGAACUAUCGGGCUCCCUGCCUGGCUGGGAGUGUUGCUGAGCACACAGCGGCUACAAUAAUGCUCAGCAGGCCAAACUGGGUGUAUCAGUUUAUGGAUGAAGAGGAUGUGGUGGAACCUCACUGGCAAGGGAAAAGUAAUAGAAAAAAAGAGGCAUAUGUGCAUAUAUAGGAAGAAACAUGAAAAGUUGUAGAAGCUUCCAGCAAGAGAAGUGCUG